UACGUAGGUGGCAAGCGUUGUCCGGAUUUAUUGGGUUUAAAGGGUGCGUAGGCGGCUUUGUAAGUCAGUGGUGAAAUAUGGCAGCUUAACUGUCAAGGUGCCAUUGAUACUGCGGAGCUUGAGUACAGAUGAGGUAGGCGGGAUUGACGGUGUAGCGGUGAAAUGCUUAGAUAUCGUCAAGAACACCUAUAGCGAAGGCAGCUUACUAGGCUGUAACUGACGCUGAGGCACGAAAGUGUGGGGAUCAAACAGG
rnacentral:rRNA from 1 species